UGAUCAUGGCUCAGGACGAACGCUGGCUGCGUGCUUAACACAUGCAAGUCGAACGCUGAAGCCCCAGCUUGCUGGGGUGGAUGAGUGGCGAACGGGUGAGUAACACGUGAGUAACCUGCCCCUGACUUCGGGAUAAGCCCGGGAAACUGGGUCUAAUACCGGAUACGACCGUCCCACGCAUGUGGGAUGGUGGAAAGUUUUUUCGGUUGGGGAUGGGCUCGCGGCCUAUCAGUUUGUUGGUGAGGUAAUGGCUCACCAAGACGACGACGGGUAGCCGGCCUGAGAGGGCGACCGGCCACACUGGGACUGAGACACGGCCCAGACUCCUACGGGAGGCAGCAGUGGGGAAUAUUGCACAAUGGGGGAAACCCUGAUGCAGCGACGCAGCGUGCGGGAUGACGGCCUUCGGGUUGUAAACCGCUUUCAGCAGGGAAGAAGCGAAAGUGACGGUACCUGCAGAAGAAGUACCGGCUAACUACGUGCCAGCAGCCGCGGUAAUACGUAGGGUACGAGCGUUGUCCGGAAUUAUUGGGCGUAAAGAGCUCGUAGGUGGUUGGUCACGUCUGCUGUGGAAACGCAACGCUUAACGUUGCGCGUGCAGUGGGUACGGGCUGACUAGAGUGCAGUAGGGGAGUCUGGAAUUCCUGGUGUAGCGGUGAAAUGCGCAGAUAUCAGGAGGAACACCGGUGGCGAAGGCGGGACUCUGGGC
rnacentral:rRNA from 1 species